rnacentral:rRNA from 1 species
AUGAACGCUGGCGGCGUGCUUAACACAUGCAAGUCGAACGAAGCACCUCUAAUCGAAGAUUGAGAAAGCUUGCUUUGAUUGAUUCACCUUGAGGUGACUGAGUGGCGGACGGGUGAGUAACGCGUGGGUAACCUACCCUAUACAGGGGGAUAACAGUUGGAAACGACUGCUAAUACCGCAUAAGCGCACAGGACCGCAUGGUCUAGUGUGAAAAACUCCGGUGGUAUAGGAUGGACCCGCGUCUGAUUAGCUAGUUGGUGAGGUAACGGCUCACCAAGGCGACGAUCAGUAGCCGACCUGAGAGGGUGACCGGCCACAUUGGGACUGAGACACGGCCCAAACUCCUACGGGAGGCAGCAGUGGGGAAUAUUGCACAAUGGGCGAAAGCCUGAUGCAAGCGACGCCGCGUGAACGAAGAAGUAUUUCGGUAUGUAAAGUUCUAUCAGCAGGGAAGAAAAAUGACGGUACCUGACUAAGAAGCUCCGGCUAAAUACGUGCCAGCAGCUGC